GAGGAUUGGGUGAAUUGGGUCUUUCCACUUGGCAGAAGAACUCGACACGAGAAGAUAGGAGAAAUUUGUAGGCAGAAGUUGAUAAUUUUUUUUUAUGAGGUACCUCCAAUAUUCAUAUAGUUCAGUGUUGUGAAUAACCAAAGAAGUAUACGUCGUGCUAUGAAAAAAAUGUCUUUUGGGUGCGUGAAUAUCAUCGUUCAACAAAGCAGCUAAGCCCCUGAAGAUCUCAUGCUCUACCACUAACAAAAUGAAUAAGCAGGUUGAUACUACCUCAUUGAAGAAGUCGCCGACCCACUUGGCAGUGAUAAGCGUGACCAUGAGAGGCAGGCCAAACGAUAUGUUGCCAGUGGCUUCAAUCAUGAUGACAGUGAGACUGAUGGUCAUGCGCACUACACCACCUAGAUGAGCCGCUGCUCCUACCAAUGCGUACUUGCCUGGUGUUACCCAUGCCUAUCAACAACAAACAUACUGCUAAAUUAGAAAAUUCUAUUCCAGUUAUUUAAAAAUAAAAUAUUUUUCAGAUGAA